UCCUUUAGCCGACCGCUGACCGACCCACACUUAGGAUUUUGCUGCGAGUUCGACAGUCGUGCGUUGAGGUGUUGGGAGUAACCUUGGGCUCCCUUAAAUUCACAACCAAUUUGUGAAUUGUUGAGGGUUCAGUUCGCCAGUAUUUCGGAUUUGAUUCAUUGGAUUUAGUAGAUUGAAGAAUUUGCAUAGAAAUCGAGGUAA